GAAGAAACAAGGGUUUUGGGACUGCGUCCUUCAAUUGGGCGUGUGCUCGACUCUUACUCUUUCAUAUCCCAUACACACCUUUGUGCACCAAGGGACCCUUGUGUCCCCUUUUUUUCAUAAAUACCGAGUUAUAUGCAUGUAUAGUUUGUAUACUCUACGGAGUUAUUAUAAAUACAACUUUCAACAACGGAUCUCUUGGCUUU
rnacentral:misc_RNA from 1 species